rnacentral:tRNA from 1 species
CCUUUGGUGGUGCAAACGGUUAACGUGCUCGGCUGCUAACCGAAAGGUUGGAGGUUCGAGUCUACCCAGAGGU